rnacentral:rRNA from 1 species
GUGGGGAAUUUUGGACAAUGGGCGCAAGCCUGAUCCAGCAAUGCCGCGUGCAGGAAGAAGGCCUUCGGGUUGUAAACUGCUUUUGUACGGAACGAAACGGUCCGGGUUAAUACCCUGGGCUAAUGACGGUACCGUAAGAAUAAGCACCGGCUAACUACGUGCCAGCAGCCGCGGUAAUACGUAGGGUGCGAGCGUUAAUCGGAAUUACUGGGCGUAAAGCGUGCGCAGGCGGUUUUGUAAGACAGGCGUGAAAUCCCCGGGCUCAACCUGGGAACUGCGUUUGUGACUGCAAAGCUGGAGUGCGGCAGAGGGGGAUGGAAUUCCGCGUGUAGCAGUGAAAUGCGUAGAUAUGCGGAGGAACACCGAUGGCGAAGGCAAUCCCCUGGGCCUGCACUGACGCUCAUGCACGAAAGCGUGGGGAGCAAACAGGAUUAGAUACCCCUGUAGUCC